rnacentral:ncRNA from 2 species
ACGUAAGUUCUAGCGCAAGUUCCUGGAAGCGGAACGCAAAAGCUUUCAGGAAGACGAGGAGAAGGUUGUCGAAACGUCAGCGGAUGCCUUCCGGCCGGCUCGGUCGAUAGAAUGCAGCGAAAGCCCCAUCGUGAGGUGGGAGACAAGCUGCGGGAGAGCACGA